AUUGAACGCUGGCGGCAUGCCUUACACAUGCAAGUCGAACGGUAACAGGUCUUCGGAUGCUGACGAGUGGCGAACGGGUGAGUAAUACAUCGGAACGUGCCCAGACGUGGGGGAUAACGAGGCGAAAGCUUUGCUAAUACCGCAUACGAUCUAAGGAUGAAAGCAGGGGACCGCAAGGCCUUGUGCGUUUGGAGCGGCCGAUGGCAGAUUAGGUAGUUGGUGGGAUAAAAGCUUACCAAGCCGACGAUCUGUAGCUGGUCUGAGAGGACGACCAGCCACACUGGGACUGAGACACGGCCCAGACUCCUACGGGAGGCAGCAGUGGGGAAUUUUGGACAAUGGGCGAAAGCCUGAUCCAGCAAUGCCGCGUGCAGGAUGAAGGCCUUCGGGUUGUAGACUGCUUUUGUACGGAACGAAAAGGCUCUGGCUAAUACCUGGGGCACAUGACGGUACCGUAAGAAUAAGCACCGGCUAACUACGUG
rnacentral:rRNA from 1 species